rnacentral:lncRNA from 1 species
ACAAAAUCGAGCAACAAUACACAAUGACAUGGUAAGAACUUCAUCAUGCAGCAUUAAGGUUUUGGCAAUGUUCUAGCAAGCAUUUAACAAGCAUACAACACAGUCACAUUGGUUUUUUCUGAACAUGUCCAUAAGGUUUUCAAAAACUGCAGCAGGGUUUAGCAUAGCAUGGUAUAGCAGCAACACAAAAACUCUAACAGCAUUUCACAGCAUACAAUCAUGUAAUAACAACAGCCCCCAGCCAUAUGGAUUUAUGGACAGCUGAAAAUAGCAAAACAACAGCAGGAUAUGCAUUGCAGUAUGGCAAUUGCAGCAGGGCAUAACAGCAUGUAACAUUGAACAAACAACAGCAACAACAGCAUAUAAACAUGUAAUCAAUACAAGUUCAUCAUCAAUAUACACCCUCAACCAAAAAUUCGAAAGGCAAUGGCAAUCAACAAGACAAUGACAAAGUUCAUGUAAUGUCUAAAGCAGCCCUAAACCAAACAUAACUAACACAACU